AGAUAAAGAAGGAAUAUGUUUAAAUUACAUUGUACUUGGGUAGAUAUUUUAGACGAACACGGUUGCUACUGGUUCGAUAACAGUACAUCUUGGAUGCAAUGCUUGGCCCGAAAUCCUUCCUCCAUUACUUUGUGUACAGCAAUCUUCUUUCUCUAUAAGUAAGAAUGUGUACGCACUGCAAGUUUUAAAAGUUGAUUUGUCUUUAUUAUAGAGACUUUCAGCCUUUGGCUGGUUCGUCUCUCGUCUUGAAAGUGUUUGUACAUCAAAGAAUAUUUUCAAGAUUCAGAAUGCUGAUUGAAAGAGUUUUGGUGGAAUUCUUGACAUGUUUAUGGAGAAGCUUUUAGAGAAUGAGAUCAUACUCAACGACACUUAAAUAAAAGAAUCUAGAAGCACUCAUAUUGAUAGAAGUGAUAGUCAGCAGAAAAAUAUCCUCUUAAAGCUCUAAAAAUAUCGCAUAAACGGAUGCACCAUUCUGCAGAAAGAGAACACUGCACCUCCGUCUAACAGCAAGUUCAGUGGCUUCUUAUGUCCACCUAUGAGCACCCGUUCGUUUUAUUCCGCAAUCUUGUCUGCAAUCGAAAGAUUAGAAAUGGAAUCAAUUUGACAAAGAAACCCCGAAGCAACCCUGGCUGGUGGCAAUGCAGGCAGACGACAGACAACAAUAGCAUUGUGGUUUUCUGGUCAAUUCCAGUCCAUAUUGUGUAGAACGGAGACGGAAUAAUGGAUGCUUUGUAUGCACAUUUGUGCACAUCAUGACAUAUAUGGUGACACCCUUUGGGAAUACGAUGCUGUCCAGUCGGAAGAGAAUCACCUCAACAAUCACAAAUCCAAUUACACUCUAUCAAAAUGUUGUAGGAAAAGUUGACUCAUAUCGCUUUGAACCUUCUGCCUCGAUUCGCAACAUUUCAACUGGUCUUUGAACUAGUUUCCCAAGCAAGACUAAUUCGAAAUUGGUCAUCUGCUCCCGUGAAGCUUUCGACGGGUUUGUUUGGAAGGCUUGCUGCUUACUAAGCAGCACAGAUAAGCCCAGAAAACCUUCAAAAAAAAACUAAAGCCAUUACUUCACGCCUUUCCAGUCAUCACCUUGCUUGGACUGGUAACCGACUGACUGCAAGCGGUCUUAACGGUAUAUCUACCGCCUGGCGCAGCCCCCAGCAAAAACAACACCAGCCAAAACGAAAACAGAAUGCUCUCGCUGACGAGAGGCAUUUUGACGAACAAAAAAUAUCCGAUAACCAAACAAUUAAAAUUUUCCCGCAUUAGUCCAGCCGAAGACGAACGCUGGGCAGUAAUACUUGAACGGCGAGUGGCGAGCAGCCCGCCCGAACGAACUACAGAUCAACCAACUCGCCGUUCAAGUGGAAGACAUUCGUGAGAAUAUUGCGCUGCAUCGCCAACAAGGUUUCGGAUCGAGCUCCACACUAACCCGAGAGGUCUCCUCUGUUUUCUGGUUAGGUUGAGUUUUCACUCGGACGUUACAAAGCUGAUGAUGGAUGAUCUUCGCCGGAGCUACGAUAACGCCGACGAAAGCACAGCUACCUUAUUCAUGGCAAGUGGGGCUUGAGUAUGAGACUUGAUACUAGUUAAACCGCUAAAGGUAGCAUUAUCAGGUCUCGGUUAUGGUAACGAACGGCAACGGUGGUUGGGGCCGAAUGACGCACAGUUUAGUGUGACUCCAGUGUGACUACUUUAGAGUUCGUGUAAAUGACAUUAAAGAAUUGUUGGCUAAUGAAUUUAAUAUAAGCAAUUUUAACACUCUUCAAGAGGAUCUAAAUUCUGAAAGGUGAGCUCGUUUCAUUUUUACACAGUGAAACGUUAUGCAUCGCUCUUCUCGAUUUCUUGUUUUAUACAAUUGAUAAGAACACCCAAGUAACAUUUUGAUGUCCAAUUAGUCUUGUAGCGGUUUAGAAAACUGUCAUAAAACAUUUUAUCAUUUAUUUUAGUUUUAUGAUGAAAUCUAUGAACCAUUUCUAGUCUAUUCUACAAAAAAUGUUAAUUGAGCAGUUCAAAUCUUUUUGUUUCUAAACUGAAAACCAGUAACUGACACUGAGAAUGUCAACUUUGAUACUUGUAGUAGCUUUGAUAACGAGGGGAAAAUGUCAGAAUCUAGAAUGUACAAUAACUAUUAUUUCACUGAUCAGAUAUUUAAAAUUCAGGAAGCGGACCUGGUGUGAUGGUUAAAGCACGUGACUAUUACGCCGAGGACCUGGGAUCGAAUCCCACUCCCGACAAACUCACAAAAUGUGAGUUCUUCCUUCGGAAGGGAAGUAAAGCGUGGGUCCCGAGAUGAGAACUAGACAAGGGCUAAAAAUCUCGAAAAUACAGAGAAAAAAAUAAAAUUCAAACGUGGAUGAACCUUAUUAGUAUAAACUCUAUCUUAGAAACAUUUCAUCAAAUAUAUGUUUUUAUAAGGUACUAGCUGUCCCGGCAAACGUUGUCUUGCCAAGCUGUGGUGGGUUGACAACUGUUGAGCUCAUAACGUCACCGCACUCUAGAUUGGUCUUAUUUCGAUCGUGUUGAUUUCCUUCCCAGCUCACGAAAAUCAGUAUUUUAGCAAUUUUCUUACUUUUCUAGUUAACUUUCAUAACUUUUUCUACAUAUAAACACAGCCACCAUCAAUACGAAUUGACCCGAGCAAGAGUCAUGCUGAUCGGUUCACCCGUUCGUUACUUUUGUUGCCUCAAAGGUACAUCAAACUCAUUUUUAUAUAUAUAAGGUAUUGCUUAUUACUGUGUUCUUGUUUAAAGAAUUUAAAACGUUCGAUAAUUUUGCAAUACAGGUCGGACUCGAUUAUCCGGAGUAUCGAUUUUUAUUUCACUCCGGAUCAGGCUUUCCAAAUGUACAGCCUUCUCGCAACAGCCCGCGCAAGGCUGAAUCGACACUCUCUUAUGUGUGCAGACCAUCUCUCGUUACCGUGUGCAACACCAUCAGUGAGAAAUGUAUCGCCAACAGCACGCACACGCAUGAGCGAAAGAUGUAUUGAAACAGCCGCUGCUUCGGCUGCUUGCCUGACAGUUGCAUACUCGAGUCGUAUCGAGCCGAGUGGAAACCGUCGUGAAUACUGUUGGCCGCAUGGCGAUGACAAUCUUCGACUAAUCAAGCCGGCUGUCGCAUAAAGGGUGUCAUAGGCUGUCACGGGAGCACAUGGCUUAACGCUAAAAGUUAUUCACAAAAUAUGGGAACUUACGUAUUUUCGGCCGUUUUGUUCUCUUCGUCAUGGGGGGUUUUUUGAAACCUGUUGAUCUCAAAGUUGGCCUCAAAUCCUUCCCAACCAAGCUGAGUUAUAUGCCCAAAUUUCAGGCAAUUUGGACCACAAAAACCCCUCAUGACGAAGAGAACAAACCUGCCGAUAAUACCCUUUGUCACUCUAUGUAGAAGAAUACGAAAGCCCGCUUAGUCGAAGCGGUAUGCAAGCGAUGUUCAAUUUCCGAUCGGUUUAGGAUAGGGUGACGAUGGAUAUUAUCGGCAGGUUUGUUCUAUUCGUCAUGAAGGGAUUUUGUCAGCCAAACUACCUGAAACUUGGUCGUAUAAUUCAGCUUGGUUGGGAAGGAUUUGAGACCUAGGUACUCUGAGUUCAAUAGCUUUCAAAAAUCCCCCAUGACGAAGAGAACAAAACUGCCAAAAUACGCAAUUUACCCUAUUUUCAUGUCCCAGUUGGGACAAAAACAAUAAAGGAAGCAAUACAUAUUAGUUCACCGCUUUA